rnacentral:rRNA from 1 species
GUCGUAACAAGGUCUCCGUUGGUGAACCAGCGGAGGGAUCAUUACCGAGUUUUCAACUCCCAAACCCUUUUGUGAACCUACCUAUCGUUGCUUCGGCGGACUCGCCCCAGCCCGGACGCGGACUGGACCAGCGGCCGCCGGGGACCCUCAAACUCUUGUAUUACCAGCAUGUUCUGAAUACGCCGCAAGGCAAAACAAAAUUAAAACUUUCAACAACGGAUCUCUUGGCUCUGGCAUCGAUGAAGAACGCAGCGAAACGCGAUAAGUAAUGUGAAUUGCAGAAUCCAGUGAAUCAUCGAAUCUUUGAACGCACAUUGCGCCCGCCAGCAUUCUGGCGGGCAUGCCUGUUCGAGCGUCAUUACAACACUCGACUUCCCGGGCCAGCCCGUGGAAGUCGGCAUUGGGGAUCGGCAGCACACCGCCGGCCCUGAAAUGGAGUGGCGGCCCGUCCGCGGCGACCUCUGCGUAGUAAUCCAACUCGCACCGGAACCCCGACGUGGCCACGCCGUAAAACACCCAACUUCUGAACGUUGACCUCGAAUCAGGUAGGACUACCCGCUGAACUUAAGCAUAUCA